rnacentral:rRNA from 1 species
CCUACGGGAGGCAGCAGUGGGGGAUAUUGCACAAUGGGGGAAACCCUGAUGCAGCGACGCCGCGUGGGUGAAGAAGCGCCUCGGCGCGUAAAGCCCUGUCAGCAGGGAAGAAAAUGACGGUACCUGAAGAAGAAGCCCCGGCUAACUACGUGCCAGCAGCCGCGGUAAUACGUAGGGGGCAAGCGUUAUCCGGAUUGACUGGGUGUAAAGGGGGCGCAGACGGCGAUGCAAGCCAGGAGUGAAAGCCCGGGGCCAAAGCCCGGGACUGGUCUUGGAACUGCGUGGCUAGAGUGCAGGAGGGGCAGGCGGAAUGCCUGGUGUAGCGGUGAAAUGCGUAGAUAUCAGGAGGAACACCGGUGGCGAAGGCGGCCUGCUGGACUGCAACUGACGUUGAGGCCCGAAAGCGUGGGGAGCAAACAGGAUUAGAUACCCCAGUAGU